rnacentral:rRNA from 1 species
CACGUAGGGUGCGAGCGUUGUCCGGAAUUAUUGGGCGUAAAGAGCUCGUAGGCGGUGUGUCGCGUCGGCCGUGAAAACCUGCAGCUUAACUGUGGGCUUGCGGUCGAUACGGGCAUCACUGGAGUUCGGCAGGGGAGACUGGAAUUCCUGGUGUAGCGGUGAAAUGCGCAGAUAUCAGGAGGAACACCGGUGGCGAAGGCGGGGUCUCUGGGGCCGAUACUGACGCUGAGGAGCGAAAAGCGUGGGGGAGCGAACAGG